rnacentral:rRNA from 1 species
UACGUAGGUGGCAAGCGUUGUCCGGAUUUAUUGGGCGUAAAGCGAGCGCAGGCGGUUCCUUAAGUCUGAUGUGAAAGCUCCCGGCUCAACUGGGAGAGGCCGUUCUAAACUGCAGAGCUAGAGGAUGGUAGAGGGAGGUGGAAUUCCAGGUGUAGCGGUGGAAUGCGCAGAUAUCUGGAGGAACACCAGUGGCGAAGGCGGCCUCCUGGACCAUUCCUGACACUCAGACGCGAAAGCUAGGGCAGCAAACGGGAUUA